GAUGAACGCUGGCGGCGUGCCUAAUACAUGCAAGUCGAGCGAACAGACGAGGAGCUUGCUCCUCUGACGUUAGCGGCGGACGGGUGAGUAACACGUGGAUAACCUACCUAUAAGACUGGGAUAACUUUGGGAAACCGGAGCUAAUACCGGAUAAUAUAUUGAACCGCAUGGUUCAAUAGUGAAAGACGGUUUUGCUGUCACUUAUAGAUGGAUCCGCGCCGCAUUAGCUAGUUGGUAAGGUAACGGCUUACCAAGGCGACGAUGCGUAGCCGACCUGAGAGGGUGAUCGGCCACACUGGAACUGAGACACGGUCCAGACUCCUACGGGAGGCAGCAGUAGGGAAUCUUCCGCAAUGGGCGAAAGCCUGACGGAGCAACGCCGCGUGAGUGAUGAAGGUCUUCGGAUCGUAAAACUCUGUUAUUAGGGAAGAACAAAUGUGUAAGUGACUAUGCACGUCUUGACGGUACCUAAUCAGAAAGCCACGGCUAACUACGUG
rnacentral:rRNA from 1 species